rnacentral:rRNA from 1 species
AAAGCCUGACGCAGCAACGCCGCGUGAGUGAUGAAGGCCUUCGGGUCGUAAAGCUCUGUCAGAGGGGAAGAACCACCUGAAGGUUAAUAUCCUUCAGGCCUGACGGUACCCUCAAAGGAAGCACCGGCUAACUCCGUGCCAGCAGCCGCGGUAAUACGGAGGGUGCAAGCGUUGUUCGGAAUUAUUGGGCGUAAAGCGCGUGUAGGCGGUCUGUUAAGUCUGAUGUGAAAGCCCCGGGCUCAACCCGGGAAGUGCAUUGGAAACUGGCAGACUUGAGUACGGGAGAGGGUAGUGGAAUUCCGAGUGUAGGGGUGAAAUCCGUAGAUAUUCGGAGGAACACCGGUGGCGAAGGCGGCUACCUGGACCGAUACUGACGCUGAGACGCGAAAGCGUGGGGAGCAAACAGGAUUAGAUACCCUGGUAGUCCACGCCGUAAACGAUGGGUACUAGGUGUUGCGGGUAUUGAUCCCUGCAGUGCCGAAGCUAACGCAUUAAGUACCCCGCCUGGGGAGUACGGCCGCAAGGCUA